UACGUAGGGUGCGAGCGUUGUCCGGAAUUAUUGGGCGUAAAGAGCUCGUAGGCGGUGUGUCACGUCGUUCGUGAAAACCUGCAGCUUAACUGUGGGCGUGCGGUCGAUACGGGCAUCACUGGAGUUCGGCAGGGGAGACUGGAAUUCCUGGUGUAGCGGUGAAAUGCGCAGAUAUCAGGAAGAACACCCGUGGCGAAGGCGGCUCUCUGGGACGGUACUGACACUGAGACGCGAAAGCGUGGGGAGCGAACAGG
rnacentral:rRNA from 1 species